UGCAGUUUCUCUGUUGUACACAGGUGCUUUCAGUGACACGCCUAUGACACGCAUGAAGAGAGAGUAGGAAAGAGAGAGAAGAACGUGUGUGGGGGGAGAGAAACCCCAGCAGCACCAGGAACAGCAUCUAGGACCAUGAGGUGUGAACUGCAUGUAAUACCCAAAGGCUUUGGCACAGUGAAGGCUGUUCAGUCUGGCUCAGUGGGAGUCACCAUGAUUUAUAGUCAGCUUCUGUAGACCUUCAGUCAAUGAACAACACUGGUCACUGAGCGCCGUGAGUGACUGAGGAGAGAAUAAUUGGAUGCCGAAAAAUGAUUCUCUAGCCCUCAGGUGUAUUACUCAUGGAGACACAGCUCAUUGGAUCAGGAAAAUCUGGGUCAAAAUGGGAGGAAAGUGACAGAAAAGUCAAAAAUCUCCAACACACUAAGGAAAUAACAAAGACACA